GGAGUCUGGGCCGUGUCUCAGUCCCAAUGUGGCUGAUCAUCCUCUCAGACCCGCUAACCAUCGUCGCCUAGGUAGGCCAUUACCCCACCUACUAGCUAAUGGUACGCAGACCCCUCUUCAUACAGUAGCUUGAAUCAGAGGCCACCUUUCCUUCGCCUCACCUAUUGAAAUGCGAGUAUAUCCGGUAUUAGUACCCCUUUCGGCGUGUUAUCCCAGAUAUGAAGACAGGUUAUCUACGCGUUACUCACCCGUGCGCCACUCUACUCACGGCCGAAGCCGCUUUCGCGUUCGACUUGCAUGUGUUAAGCACGCCGCCAGCGUUCGUUCUUGAGCCACGGAUCAAACUACU
rnacentral:rRNA from 1 species